AGCUUCAGUUAGAACUUCAGUCAGAGUUCGACUUCUUCUCAACGUACUUUGUACAACGAUUUUUCCAAACUAUCUCAGCAUUUCCCAAACGAGGUGUCAAGAACAAUUCUGAAAGGAAAGCGCAAAGCAAUCUCUCAUUGAUGACCAGACACAGAGACAGUAUAACUGUCACCUCAUUAUCACCGAUAAAGCAAGCUACGAAAAUUACUUGGGUGGACAGUGGUUCAAUUUCUGCAGAUAACGAGUGAUGGAAGAAGGUGGUAAGCAUCUUUGAUCUCGAAAAGUCACAGAAGAAUUUACA
rnacentral:lncRNA from 1 species